CCCUUAGAUGUUCUGGGCUGCACCCGUGCUACACUGGCAGGUUCAGCGAGCUUCAUGCCCUGAUCUGAAAGGAAUGGGAAAUCUUUUCAAAACCUGCCGUGCUUGGGAUAGAUGUUUGCAAUUAUUCAUCUUCAACGAGGAUUGCCUUGUAAGCGCACGUCAUCAGCGUGCAUUGAAUACGACCCUGUAUUCUGUACACACCGCCCGUCGCUCCUACCGAUUGAAGUUUUCGGUGAGUUGACGGGAGGAUUUUUUUGAAACUGGUUCGCCAGUGGAUUUUAGAUCCAAAUGCCAACGAAUCGAUGGCUUUAGAGGAAGGAGAAGUCGUAACA
rnacentral:rRNA from 1 species